rnacentral:lncRNA from 1 species
GGGCAGGGAUUAAACCCUCACUGAGUUGCUUAGGGUUGGCCUGCCCUUUCAAGCCACUGGGAUUACAGGCAUGUACCACCACUCCUGGCUUUUUUAAUUUAAAAAAAUAUAUAUUUUUUGGACAGCACAUCUUUAUAUUUUAUUUGUUUACUUUUGUAUGUGGUGCUAAGGAUUGAACCUAGUCCUCACUGUGCUAGGCAAGUACUGUGCUGCUCAGCCCCAGCCCUGUUUUAAUUUUUUAUUUUGAGGCAGGGUCUCACUAAAUUGCCCAGGCUGGCCUCAAAUUUGUGAUCCUGGGAUUACUGGAUUUCAGGUGUGUGCCAUCAUACCUACCAUACAUGAAUCCACGAAUCCUGUGAAGCCCCACAUUGCAAAUAACUUCAAGGCAAAAGACAAGUGUCCCAAGCCAGAGAUGUGGGUUUGGAAGUUGUGAUAAAAGUGAUAGGUGAAGCUCUAGAGUUAAGACAUUCUUUCAUACUGAAUUUUGAUCUGCAAAUGAAGAGGCUUGAAUAUAACUAGGGGAUACAAGGAUAAAGAAUGAUGAAUCAGGAAGGAAGGGAAGUGAUCACAAAAGAAAUCCAAGAAGUUAGCAUUGACACAUGGAGAGAGACAAGAGGAAGUUGCAUUAUUUAUUUAAUCAAGGUAUUUAAUGCUAAUUAUCGUAGGGACAAACUUAGAACAUUUGCAAAAUAUGUUUCUCCUUAAUGUCAGCCAAGUAGUGUACCUUCCAUUUUAUGACUGCAUCAUUUGGAUCUUGACCUACCCAGAUCAAUGUAAAGGGGAAAAGUGAUGGCAGCACACCAGCAACAAAUUAUGUCGGCUGGGUAGUGACAUCAAUUCUCCAUAGGCCAGUGGUAGUUGACCUCUAUUUGCAACAGAAGCUUUAAAAUGUAGGAAGAGCUGGGCACAGAGGUGCACACUUGUAAUCCUAGCAAUUUGGAAAGUGGAGGAGGAGGAUUUCAAGUUAGAGGCCAGUGUCAGCAAUUUAGUGAGACCCUGUCUCAAAAUUAAAAACAGGCUGGGGAUGUAGCUCAUUGGUAAAAUGUACUGGAUUAAGUCCCCAGUACCACAGAGAGAAAAGUAGGGAAGAGAAUAGGUUUGGGGUGUUUUGUGGUGCUGGGAAUUGAACUCCUGGGUGCUCUACCACUGAACUACAUCUGCAGCCUUUUUUACUUUUUGAAAGAGGGUCUCACUAAAUAGCCCAGACUGGCCUUAAAUUUGUGAUUCUCCUGCCUCAGCAGGAUUAUGGGCAUGUGCUGCCACACCAGCGUGGAUAGGUGUUAUUUUUAAUGUUCUUUGUUACACAUUCUUCACAUGUCUAGUUUGGAGGGUUUUAAUUGUUGUUUGCUUUUUUGUUUUGUUUUUGUUUUAUGCUCAUGUAGAGAAAGUUGGGUGUGCCAGAAAAACAGUCUCUGGCUGUUUGUAUCCUUAAGAUCCAGGCUCAAUCCUCAGGAAGGCAGAGCCUGGGGCUCAUAUAAAGGCUCCGGGUCUUUCUUUCAGGGCUUGUCACAGGAAAACAAGCCAGACAGCCACCAUCCUCCCAUCCCCCAAGCCGUUGCUAGGAGAUAUAUAAACACAGCAAGAAAUAAUCCACUGAUCUGCUGAGGGUUUAGCAUUGCAACUUUCCCAUAAAUGACCAACAGCUGUUUGACCUUUGGGGGGCUAUAUCUCUGUGUGGGUGGCAUAGAACCAAGGAUGAAAGGAGAGUGUAUAAAUGCUAGGACAGGCGUAUUGCAGAGCCAGAAGCUCUAUCUCCUUUUCUCCUUGUACUCAGAGUCUAGCACAGGAAGGUGACUGGCAAAGCUGUUGUUGAAUAUUAAUGUAGAUCCUAUUGGUGCUGUCUUUCUCUCAGCAGUAUUAUGCUUUUGACUUAUUGGGUUUGUAUUCAAUUGAAACUACAUAAUUUUACUCAAGAUCUGUUGCCAAGGCACACCUAUCUUGGACCUAUGCAAAUAAAAAAAUAUAUGUAUAUGUAUAUACAUAUAUAUUAUUUUGUUUCAUCUACAUUCUAAUUUUAGAUUCAAAAUGGCCCUACUAUGUCACAUUAUGCCACAGUGAAUCAGCAAAAGCCUCCCAGAUUCCUCUUCUUGAAAAGAGUACUGCAAUCCUUUACCUAAACAUAAAAGGAAUUUUAUCAAUACUUGAUCCAGGGCUUCAGGGUUUCUUUUUUCCCAGUGCUGGGGAUUGAACUCAGUGCUUGGGAUGCUAGGUAAUUGUGAGGUCAGCCUCAACAACAUAGUGAGACCGUGUCUCAAAGAAGGACUGGGGAUGUAACUUAGUGGUAAGCCUCUGGGUUCAAUCUCCAGUGCAAAAACAAAACAAACAAAAAUAAUAAAUAAAAACUGCAAAACACAAACAAUUUAACCAUUUCUAGGAAGCUUCCCACACCCACCAGGAAAGCUGAUCUCUCCCCCUUCCCUCACUGUGUCUCUCUCCUAACUGUAUCUAUAAUUAUGUUUCUGCAAUUGCUCAGAUACACAUUUCUCCGUGACCAGAAUAAGAACUCCUAAAGGGCCAGAACCAACCUGCACCUAUGCCCCUAAUGUUUGAGGGAUGACACACAGGUAGGGAAGAGCUAGGCACAGAGUUGUAAUCCUAGCAAUUGUAAUACUUGGUGAGCAUUUCCUCAGUGAUGGCCAUAUGACAGUCUUGAGGGUAGAGAUGAAGUGACUUCUAGUCAGAAAGGAACUCCAAUCCAUUAGACAUAAGGUGUCUCCCUCUCUCUUUUUUUUUCCCCACUGGAACUAGGGAUUGAACUGGGGUGCUCCCCCACCACGCUGUAUCCCCAGUCCUUUUUAUUUUUCAUUUUGAGACACAGUCUCACUAACUUGCCCAGACUGGCCUUGAACUUCAGAUCCUUCUGCCUCAGUCUGUUGAGUAGCUAGGAUGACUGGUAGGAGCCCAGAUUCCUUUCUGUCUUAAUUUUUUUUUAAAGAGAGAGAGAGGAGAGAGAGAGAGAAUUUUAAUAUUUAUUUUUUAGUUAUCGGCGGAUACAACAUCUUUGUUUUGUAUGUGGUGCUGAGGAUCGAACCCGGGCCGCACGCAUGCCAGGCAAGCACGCUACCGCUUGAGCCACAACCCCAGCCCCAUAAUAUCAUAUUUCUCUAAAGCAAAAGUAUGCCUUGAUUUCCAAGUGAAACUAGUAUCAUGACCAUUGUUAUUGAAGUGUUCCCCACAACCGCCCCAGCACUGGGGAUUGAAUCUGAGAGUACUUUACCACUGAACUAUAUCCCCAGCUCUUUUUAUUUUAUUUUGAGACAGGGUUACACAGUUCCUAACCUGGCCUCACACUUUGUGAUCCUCCUACCUCAGCCUACAGGCUUGUGCCACUGCGCCCAGUUUCUUUUCAUUUCCAUCCACAUGUGAAUAAGAGGAUUGUUCACAUAAUUAUAUGGAAAUGGAAGUUUUACUAUUGCUGUGUCUCUCGGUUCUUUGAAUUCUUUCCAAGAUAUCUGUGAUAAAAGAAAAGAAUCUGAGAUGUCCUAAAUAUAAUAACAAAGGCCAGAGUGUGAAGGGGGAAGAUAUAAGGAAGUUAAACACAGCAGGUGAAACCAACAAAAAGAUUAUGUUGAAACCUUGACUUAAAUCUCAUCACAGCCACCAACCAACAAGAUCACUGAGGACCUGUUUAAAUCAAAACUUUCAGGACUGUUAGGCUCAAUCAAUUCAAAAGCAGCAAGUUCCUUCUGAUGGGCUGCCCUCCUGUCCAGAGCUUCCUCACUUCACCUUACCCUUUUGGUUUUUAAGUUGCAUAGAUUCUAGUGCCUUCACUGAAUUUGAGAAAAAGUGCUCUUGGUUUGGGUCCAGCUAACAUCUUCCAACUUGCCACUUCGUUCUAUUGCUGGUAGUCAUGGAAACUUGUUCCAGAACCUGGCCCUUUCUUUUUCUGGCUAGCAUUGUAAUGGCUCAAUAAACCUUUAUUAUUGUACCGAACCCUUGGUUUCUAGUGU